rnacentral:rRNA from 1 species
UGAGGAAUUUUGCGCAAUGGGGGAAACCCUGACGCAGCAACGCCGCGUGAGUGAAGAAGGCCUUCGGGUCGUAAAGCACUUUUUGGAAGGAAUAGGAAGGAAUGUACUUCCAGAAUAAGUCUCGGCUAACUACGUGCCAGCAGCCGCGGUAACACGUAGGAGGCAAACGUUAUCCGGAUUUACUGGGCGUAAAGCGUGUGUAGGCGGUUUGAUAAGUUGGAUGUGAAAGCUCCUGGCUUAACUGGGAGAGGUCGUUCAAAACUAUCAGACUUGAGAGUGGUAGAGGGAGGUGGAAUUCCGCAUGUAGUGGUGAAAUGCGUAGAUAUGCGGAGGAGCACCAGUGGCGAAAGCGGCCUCCUGGCCCAUUUCUGACGCUCAGACACGAAAGCGUGGGGAGCAAACA